GUAUAAUGGGUCAGCGACUUAUAUUCUGUAGCAAGGUUAACCGAAUAGGGGAGCCGAAGGGAAACCGAGUCUUAACUGGGCGUUAAGUUGCAGGGUAUAGACCCGAAACCCGGUGAUCUAGCCAUGGGCAGGUUGAAGGUUGGGUAACACUAACUGGAGGACCGAACCGACUAAUGUUGAAAAAUUAGCGGAUGACUUGUGGCUGGGGGUGAAAGGCCAAUCAAACCGGGAGAUAGCUGGUUCUCCCCGAAAGCUAUUUAGGUAGCGCCUCGUGAAUUCAUCUCCGGGGGUAGAGCACUGUUUCGGCAAGGGGGUCAUCCCGACUUACCAACCCGAUGCAAACUGCGAAUACCGGAGAAUGUUAUCACGGGAGACACACGGCGGGUGCUAACGUCCGUCGUGAAGAGGGAAACAACCCAGACCGCCAGCUAAGGUCCCAAAGUCAUGGUUAAGUGGGAAACGAUGUGGGAAGGCCCAGACAGCCAGGAUGUUGGCUUAGAAGCAGCCAUCAUUUAAAGAAAGCGUAAUAGCUCACUGGUCGAGUCGGCCUGCGCGGAAGAUGUAACGGGGCUAAACCAUG
rnacentral:rRNA from 1 species